AACGAACGCUGGCGGCAGGCUUAACACAUGCAAGUCGAACGGAUGUAGCAAUACAUCAGUGGCAGACGGGUGAGUAACACGUGGGAACCUUCCUCGUUGUACGGGACAACUCAGGGAAACUUGAGCUAAUACCGUAUACGUCCGAGAGGAGAAAGAUUUAUCGCAAUGAGACGGGCCCGCGUCGGAUUAGCUAGUUGGUGGGGGUAACGGCCUACCAAGGCGACGAUCCGUAGCUGANCUGAGAGGAUGAUCAGCCACACUGGGACUGAGACACGGCCCAGACUCCUACGGGAGGCAGCAGUGGGGAAUCUUGGACAAUGGGCGCAAGCCUGAUCCAGCCAUGCCGCGUGAGUGAAGAAGGCCUUAGGGUUGUAAAGCUCUUUUGCCAGGGACGAUAAUGACGGUACCUGGAGAAUAAGCCCCGGCAAACUUCGUGCCAGCAGCCGCCGUAAU
rnacentral:rRNA from 1 species